AACGAACGCUGGCGGCGUGCCUAACACAUGCAAGUCGAACGGAGAUAAGAAGCUUGCUUCUUAUUUUAGUGGCGCACGUGUGAGUAGCGCGUGGAUAAUCUACCUGAUGCUCUGGGGUAACGUCUCGCAAGGGGUGCUAAUACCGGAUAAGCCCAGGAGCUCUUCGGAGAAUGCGGGAAAAGGCGGGGACCUUCGGGCCUUCCGACGUCAGAUGAGUCCGCGUCCCAUUAGCUAGUUGGCGGGGUAAUGGCCCACCAAGGCUACGAUGGGUAGCUGGUCUGAGAGGAUGAUCAGCCAAACUGGAACUGAGACACGGUCCAGACUCCUACGGGAGGCAGCAGUGAGGAAUUUUGCGCAAUGGCCGCAAGGCUGACGCAGCAACGCCGCGUGGGUGAAGAAGGCCUUCGGGUCGUAAAGCCCUGUCAGGUGGGAAGAAAGGCUUGGUUGAUAAUACCGAUUGAGUUUGACGGUACCACCAGAGGAAGCACCGGCUAACUCCGUGCCAGCAGCCGCAGUAACAC
rnacentral:rRNA from 1 species